CCGAGGCGCUGCUUGGACUGGAGGUGCUGUGGAAUAAACGGGUGAGAUCCUUGGUGUCAGAGCGCUCGAUCUAAACCAGAGAUUCCCAAAGCCUGAUUCCUGGGACCAGCAGCAUCAGCAACUGCUGUCUCCCUGUUGGUGAAGAUUCUUUCCCAGCAGAGCUGCAGCUGACCCUUAGCCUCCCAGAGUGAGCACUAUUUGGUGUUAUGAGCCAUUGAGAUAUUCCAGUUCUUUGUUCUUGUAAGAAAUGCCAGAAAAUGUCCGUUUCAAGUGCCCAUCAAUGGGAAAAUGUAUCAUGGAAUACCCUCGACCUUCACUGGCCACUCUCAAGCUUUAUCAUUUCCAGUUCGAUUCUGAUGAUGGUCGCGAUGAGAUGCAUAAUUAUAUUGGCAACAGGUGCAUUACUGCCCACUGCUUACAUCACUGUGCCAUCCUGGGCACCGGUCCCAGCUCUGUAACUGCAUGUCUAUAUAUACUUCAUCUCAUACUUGCCACAUGCCAGGGAAGGCGGCAAAAAGCACAAACCCCAGAGUUAGCCUGGAUUCAAGUCUUGACAAGAUUGUUUCCUGUGGGACGGCGAGGAAACUACCUAACCUCUCUGUGCCUCCGUCUCCUCAUCUACAAAAUGGGAAUAGUAACACUCUCUGCACGGGGUUGCUGUGGGCAUCAGGCCCAAAGGGAGGACUUACCAUCACCCCAUGUCGCAGGAGAGGAACUAAACACACAGAGAAGGUAACAACAUGAGCAAGGACACACAGCUGGCAGGAGGCAGAGCCGGGAUGGGCCCGGCACCAAGACCUGAGCAUCCGGGUCGCAGUCUCCUCUCCGAGGAGCCCCAGUAACUACACCUGCCUCCCCGCCCCCACCCCGUCUACUGCCUGUGAUGGGCUCCCGGACACCUAUGGCAAGUGGGCUGCAGAUCAAGGUCUUCGAGGUCCACCGACUGGGGUUGGAGCUGUGGUGUGAGCUUCGGCAUUUAUAAGCUCUGUGACAUCAGGCUAGUUGCUUUCCCUCUCUGAGACUCAGGUCCUGUAUCUGUAAGAUGAGAAUAAUAAUCACACCCGCAUGCCGGGGUUGUUGUGAGGAUUCAACGAGAUAGUGUGUGUAAAGUGGCCAGC